rnacentral:lncRNA from 1 species
GGCAGUUGGGUGUUUCUUGGAAAGAUCACUCCCCGUUGCUUUUCCCAUCUUUGCUUUUCCCAUCCUUUGCUUUUCCCAUCCUUCGCUCCUCCAUCCGCGGCCGUUACCCCAGCCCUCGAGCACCAGAAAUAGAAACUCGGAGGCUGGCGUCGAGGCUAGACAUGGACUCCGCGCCUGGCCCCUUCCAGAUCCCAGUUUUCUAAAGUGACUUCGCACCAAAGUCCGGGCUCCCUAAUUUAUGCGUUUUUAGACCCUUAAGCAUCAUUUUGUGGGCAACCAAACGGGCACUUCCAAAUUAGCUCAAAGUAUCCAAGCCCAGAGAAGAGAGAAAACACACAUACACUGAUAAAUACGCAGAUGCUAACUUGUAAGUAUUCUGUUUUUCCUCUGUGGGGAUGGAAAUUGAACAAGGGAAAGAGGGGGAACAUUUUUAUUUCCUAAAAUGUUUCCUACUGAGUUUGCACUUGUAAAGUUUUUUCUGCUUUCUUUCCCUUUGUGUGUGUUCUUACUCUCUUUCUCUCAGUAAAUAUCUCUGACUUAAGUUUAUUCUCCCAUCACUACCGUGAUCAAAAAGAAGAGAAAGACAAAAUAUCAAAACUUCCAAAUAUUUCUAGUUGUUCGCAACGGGUCUUUUUGUUGUUGUUGGAAAAAUAUAACCUGUUCAAGCGAUAUGAAAAUGGAUGCAGAAAUCAGAAAAGGGUGUGUGGAAUCGAUUUAAGUUUAACCUGACAGUACAUGUCUUGAAGGUCUUUUAUGAACUUGAAACACAUCGGCUAGGUCUUCAUCCUCACCUGCACUGGAAUUACCUACUUAAGAAAAACAAACUAAUGAUACACAAAGAAGCACUUAUAAUGUUUCUGUCAUCCUUCAAGAGGUCUGAAUAGAUCAUGGAACCAUGUUCAAGGGCUGCUGUAUUAAUGAAAGAAGUACAUGAUCAUCCCAAUAGAUGCAGAAAGAGAAUGUGACAAAAUUCGACUGCCAUUCAUGAUAAAAACUCUCAGAAAACUAGGACUAGAAGGGAACUUCCUCAACCUGACAAAGCAUCUCUACAAAAAACCUGUCAGUAACAUCACAUUUGAUGAUAAAAGAGAAAAAGAGUGUUUUUCUGGCCGGGCACAAUGGCUCACACCUGUAAUCCCAGGACU